AAAAUUUGAAAAAUUUGUUUUAAAAAAAACCCAAAAAGAGUUGUUUUUGUGUGUUUGUUUGUGUCUUAGGGUACCUUCCAACACAAUGAUGAGGAUUUGGUUUUUAAGUGCAUGACUGUUAAAGAGAGUGAUUAACAUGGAUGAAAGUUUGAUUUACUCUUUGUUUAUGCUUGGUUGUGGUUAUAACUUAUGAAUUCACAUGCAAUCAUAAAAGAAAAAAAAUCAGUUUUUGUAACAUGCUUGAAGGAAGGAACUCAAACUAACGCUACAACCUUGUGAGACUUGAGCCUAAACGUUUAUUUGGAGAGUUAAAAUCUGUGCAUUCUUUGUUUUCUAAGUCGUUGCAUGAUCUCAUUCUUCCUUGCUCGGUUACUAUUUAGAAGGCGUUUCAUCAUUUAGUUCCAAAUGCUAGAACUCAUGCCCAUUUCAUUCAAAGCAUGUUAUUGAUUUGCAUAAUGAUUUGCAUAACACAUAUUCAAGAUAAAGUUGUGUAGUGACCACCACCUUAGCCAAAAAGCCAUGAAUCCCCUAUGUCAUUAUGUUUUGUAGGUUUUAACCCCAUUGAGCCUUGUUUAGCCUUUUCUUUGUUAACCCACAUUAACCUCACCUAGCCUAGUUUAGGACCAUCUAUACCCUUGUUCUUAAAGCCUAGUAAUGCAUGAUUCGAAUUGAAUUCCUUUUGAUUUAUGUUGGCAGAAAACAAGUGUGGGGGAAGUAUUUCUUUUGGUGAUUUUGUGUGCCAUAGGCACGUGUGGAAAGAAAAGAAAAAAAAAAAAAAAAUUCGGGGAAAAAGAAAAAAUGAAGAAAAAAGUGUGAAAAGUAUGAAAAAAGAGUUGAAAAGAUGUGAAAAAGAGUUUCAAAGUAUUGUUUGUUGAAGUAAGGGUCCAAAAGCAAUGAAUUCGGCCCUAAAGAGUUAUCUAAAUCUUUCCCUUGUGUUUUAAAGUUAAUUUCUGCAAUCUAAGUGAAUUUUAAGCCUCAAUUUCACUACUUUGCUUACUAAUGCUUGAAGAACGUUUGUUUUCCCUAUCCUUUCUUUGUUAACCAAUACCCCAAGCCCCGUUACAACCCUUAACUUCUAUCUUGAGUGUUAUGUGUUUCAAUCUGUGGAGUUUGAAUUUGGUAUGAGCAUAUGGUGUCACUGGUUCUCGCAUCUAAGUAGUAGCAUUCCAUUCAUGAGAUCAUAUCUAAACAUGCUUCUUAACUCUAGAAAUUGCGUUCUUUGUGAAACAUAUAUGUGAGCAUUCGUUUUCAUAUCUACAUCAAUCUUCUCACAUAUAACUAGUGUAGGGUGUGGAGUUAGAAAAUCUGAGUGAAAAUAGAGUGUAUAUCUUGUAAGGAAUUGAGGGAAUUCUCUAAGGCAUGUUACUACAUUCAAAGCAUUGUUUUAAUUGAUUACUUGUGAACUAGUAAGUGGUGGCUUUAAUUAAGUAUGUGCUUGUGUAAAGAUGACUCAAAUCUGUGGGGAUAGCAAUCUUUAACAUGUCAUGUGCAUUGGAAAUCCCUGAGGCAAACGUUGGAAGGUUUAGGUUUUGUUUUGGUUAGUUUGUUUCGUUUUGUUUUCUUUCUUUUGUUUGUUUUGCUCGAGGACUAGCAAAAGCUAAGUGUGGGGGAAUUUGAUAGGAGCAUAUUUAUGCGCCUUAGUUAGCUAGUUCUUAUGCAUCUUUGUUAUGUUUUCUUCGUUAAAGUAGUCUUUUAAGCUACUUUCAUGUGUUUUCAGGUUUAAAGGACAUAUUACAUGAAAUGAUGCAAGUUGGAGCUUUUGGAGCAAAAUAUGAGCUUGGAUUGAAAAGGACAUGCUUGGAACACAAGGUUGGGAUGGAAUUGAAAAAGUUGAAGAUUUGAGGUUUCCUACUUCAAGUAGGAAAGCUAAGCCUAAAAGUUUCCAUUUUGGGUUGAUCUUUCCUAAAUCGGAAUUGGCAACCAAAGUUUCUAAAAGUUGGAAGUUUCUAUUCUUGGAGGUUUCCAUUUUCGUGAGUUUCUAUUCUUGGCUUUGGGCUUUUGGAUGACCCAUCCUUACUUCUUGGACCUAUGUCGCACCUAAACCCUAACCCUAGCCACCUAAUCAGCCGCACCUAGGCCUUGUUCACAUGCAAUAAUCUGAUUAUAAACCCUAAGCCCAUGCCGCACCUUUCCACCUAGAAGCCCUAUUUUACAAACCCUAAACCCUAGUCCACUUAAGUGCCGCACCUAACCCUAGCCCAUUGUUAAAAAUCUGAUUUCAUUAGGGUUUCUAAGUGCCUAUAUAUACCCCCCUCUCCACAAAAUCAGAAAAUCAUCUCUCCUUC
rnacentral:lncRNA from 1 species